UCGGGAAUUUUGGGCAAUGGGGGAAACCCUGACCCAGCAACGCCGCGUGAAGGGUGAAGUAUUUCGGUAUGUAAACUUCGAAAGAAUAGGAAGAAUAAAUGACGGUACUAUUUAUGAGGUCCGGCUAACUACGUGCCAGCAGCCGCGGUAAUACGUAGGGACCAAGCGUUGUUCGGAUUUACUGGGCGUAAAGGGCGCGUAGGCGGCAUGACAAGUCACUUGUGAAAUCUCUGGGCUUAACCCAGAACGGCCAAGUGAUACUGUCGCGCUAGAGUGCAGAAGGGGCAAUCGGAAUUCUUGGUGUAGCGGUGAAAUGCGUAGAUAUCAAGAGGAACACCUGAGGUGAAGACGGGUUGCUGGGCUGACACUGACGCUGAGGCGCGAAAGCCAGGGGAGCAAACGGGAUUAGAUACCCGAGUAGUCCCUGAGCGGGCUGGCAAGGCGCAU
rnacentral:rRNA from 1 species